ensembl:snoRNA
AUCCUAUUGUUCAUCAGCAUGAUGAUUAGGUUUUCAUGCGCCUGCAUGAGAUGUGCUUCUCACAAAUCUUAUUACAAUAUCAGCACAUUACCCAUCAGAUG